rnacentral:rRNA from 1 species
GACGAACGCUGGCGGCGUGCUUAACACAUGCAAGUCGAACGGAAAGGCCCUGCUUUUGUGGGGUGCUCGAGUGGCGAACGGGUGAGUAACACGUGAGUAACCUGCCCUUGACUUUGGGAUAACUUCAGGAAACUGGGGCUAAUACCGGAUAGGAGCUCCUGCUGCAUGGUGGGGGUUGGAAAGUUUCGGCGGUUGGGGAUGGACUCGCGGCUUAUCAGCUUGUUGGUGGGGUAGUGGCUUACCAAGGCUUUGACGGGUAGCCGGCCUGAGAGGGUGACCGGCGACAUUGGGACUGAGAUACGGCCCAGACUCCUACGGGAGGCAGCAGUGGGGAAUAUUGCAGAAUGGGCGGAAGCCUGAUGCAGCAACGCCGCGUGCGGGAUGACGGCCUUCGGGUUGUAAACCGCUUUCGCCUGUGACGAAGCGUGAGUGACGGUAAUGGGUAAAGAAGCACCGGCUAACUACGUG